rnacentral:SRP_RNA from 2 species
GCUGGGUGCGGUGGCUCACGCCUGUAAUCCCAGCACUUUGGGAGGCUGAGGUGGGUGGAUCACCUGAGGCCAGGAGUUCAAGACCAGCCUGGCCAACAUGGUGAAACCCCGUCUCUA